rnacentral:rRNA from 1 species
UACGGAGGGGGCUAGCGUUGUUCGGAAUUACUGGGCGUAAAGGGCGCGUAGGCGGUCAGCACAAGUCAGUUGUGAAAUCUCCGGGCUUAACUCGGAAAGGUCAACUGAUACUGUGCGACUAGAGUGCAGAAGGGGCAACUGGAAUUCUCGGUGUAGCGGUGAAAUGCGUAGAUAUCGAGAGGAACACCUGCGGCGAAGGCGGGUUGCUGGGCUGACACUGACGCUGAUGCGCGGAAAGCCAGGGAGCGAACGGG